AUUGAACGCUGGCGGCAUGCUUUACACAUGCAAGUCGAACGGCAGCGCGGGCUUCGGCCUGGCGGCGAGUGGCGAACGGGUGAGUAAUACAUCGGAACGUGCCCAGUAGUGGGGGAUAGCUCGGCGAAAGCCGGAUUAAUACCGCAUACGACCUGAGGGUGAAAGCGGGGGAUCUUCGGACCUCGCGCUAUUGGAGCGGCCGAUGGCAGAUUAGCUAGUUGGUGGGGUAAAGGCCUACCAAGGCGACGAUCUGUAGCUGGUCUGAGAGGACGACCAGUCACACUGGGACUGAGACACGGCCCAGACUCCUACGGGAGGUAGCAGUGGGGAAUUUUGGACAAUGGGCGAAAGCCUGAUCCAGCAAUGCCGCGUGUGUGAUGAAGGUCUUCGGGUUGUAAAGCACUUUUGGCGGGAAGGAAAAGGACUGUGCCAAUACCACGGUUCGAUGACGGUACCAGCAGAAUAAGCACCGGCUAACUACGUG
rnacentral:rRNA from 1 species